rnacentral:rRNA from 1 species
GACGGAGGGCGCGGGUGUUAUUCGUUUUGAUUGGGUGUAAAGGGUACGUAGGUGGUUUCUAGUUUUUUGGCUAAAAGCGCGGAGUGUUCCUACGCGAUAGCCUUUGAAAAAGGAAACUUGGGUUGAAAAUAGGUCGGGGCAAAAUCUCAAGUAGGGGUAAAAUCUUACUAUAUGAGAUAGAACGUCAGCUGGCGAAGGCGCCUUUCCGGUUUCAACUGACGCUCAGGUACGGAAGCUUAGGGAUCAAACGGG